rfam:Ipomoea nil DNA, scaffold: scaffold2821, cultivar: Tokyo-kokei standard.
GUCAGGAUGGCGAGUGGUUUAAGGCGCCAGACUCAACUUCUGGUCCUCGUGAGAGGGCGUGGGUUCAAAUCCCACUUCACAUA